UUCUUUGCGCAGAGGCAAAAUCGUAACCAAUGAGGUUAAUCCGAGGUGCGAUUAUUGCUAGUUGAAUUUGCAAUUAGUGGUUUGAUUGGCACCUUAUGUCCACUUUCCUGCGAACCGUCAAAGAAUACUUAUAACAAAUGGACACAACGAUAAAUAAUGAAAAUAAUCACGAGAAAAAAAGUAUGGCGGUUCACCAUGUUA
rnacentral:snRNA from 1 species